UCAGCUACCAAUGAAGGGCGUGC
rnacentral:miRNA from 1 species